UGAGGAAUAUUGGACAAUGGGCGCAAGCCUGAUCCAGCCAUGCCGCGUGUGUGAAGAAGGUCUUCGGAUUGUAAAGCACUUUAAGUUGGGAGGAAGGGCAGUUACCUAAUACGUAUCUGUUUUGACGUUACCGACAGAAUAAGCACCGGCUAACUCUGUGCCAGCAGCCGCGGUAAUACAGAGGGUGCAAGCGUUAAUCGGAAUUACUGGGCGUAAAGCGCGCGUAGGUGGUUUGUUAAGUUGGAUGUGAAAUCCCCGGGCUCAACCUGGGAACUGCAUUCAAAACUGACAAGCUAGAGUAUGGUAGAGGGUGGUGGAAUUUCCUGUGUAGCGGUGAAAUGCGUAGAUAUAGGAAGGAACACCAGUGGCGAAGGCGACCACCUGGACUGAUACUGACACUGAGGUGCGAAAGCGUGGGGAGCAAACAGGAUUAGAUACCCAAGUAGUCCCUGAGCGGGCUGGCAAGGCGCAU
rnacentral:rRNA from 1 species